rnacentral:lncRNA from 1 species
CGUCCAGUAGAACCUGAAGAUGUUGGCGCCGGUGCCUUUUCGUUCCAGAGGCCGGACGAAUGUGAUGAUGAAGCUGAGCCUGAAGAGGAACUUGAAGGUUUCGAUGGUGGAGAUGCCUCGUCCGAGAUGUCAUCUGAACGCCUUGGCAGCCGGUUGUGCAAAAUGGUUGAGUCUACGGAUGAUGAUAUGCGCAAGUUGUUUCAGAAGAAUGAGGAGAGCGUUCUAGGCUUGACAACACUUCGAGAUCUUGUGUUGGAACAUGAACAACAGCUAGGGCAGAGAAUUGAGCACGGCAAAAGGAUGCUGCUUGACACCCUGGGGAAGUAUUCAGAGGAGAGUGAGUAGUGGAGUCAUCGACAGCAAACUUUGUUUUUGCAGCAUUCUGUGAAGGACACACCAUAUUAUUGUCAUGGGUGGCGCCAAUGCACAGCAUUGCACAUUUUGUUUUGGUGCUAGAUCAAGUACCUCUGCAAGUUUUUAGCUGGCCAUUUACAUGCGGAUACCUUGAAUACU